CUGAAUUGUCAACAAGAGUUGUUGCUGGUCCUCAAACGAGGGCAUGUGCACGCUCUGUUCACACAUCCACUCACACCCUUGUGCACCCUCUGUAGUUCUAUGGCCAGGGGGCCUGUCCUCCUGCUGUGGUUCUGCAUCUUUACACACACACACUGUAACAAAGUCUCAUGGAAUGCAUGCCGCGUUUAACGCAAUAUAAUA
rnacentral:misc_RNA from 1 species